rnacentral:rRNA from 1 species
AGAACGAACGCUGGCGGCAUGCCUAACACAUGCAAGUCGAACGAGACCUUCGGGUCUAGUGGCGCACGGGUGCGUAACGCGUGGGAAUCUGCCCUUGGGUUCGGGAUAACAGUUGGAAACGACUGCUAAUACCGGAUGAUGACUUCGGUCCAAAGAUUUAUCGCCCAGGGAUGAGCCCGCGUAAGAUUAGCUAGUUGGUGGGGUAAAGGCCUACCAAGGCAACGAUCUUUAGCUGGCUGAGAGGAUGAUCAGCCACACUGGGACUGAGACACGGCCCAGACUCCUACGGGAGCAGCAGUGGGGAAUCUUGGACAAUGGGCGCAAGCCUGAUCCAGCCAUGCCGCGUGAGUGAAGAAGGCCUUCGGGUUGUAAAGCUACUUUUACCAGGGACGAUAAUGACGGUACCUGGAGAAGUAAGCCCCGG